GUGCUUGCUUUGGCAGCACAUAUACUAAAAUUGGAAUGAUACAGAGAUUGGCAUGGCCCCUGUGCAAGAAAACUACCAGCAAAAAAAACCCAAGACCCUG
rnacentral:snRNA from 1 species